UGACGGGUUCCGCUGGGUGUUGUUGG
rnacentral:piRNA from 1 species